rnacentral:rRNA from 1 species
GCCAAUCAAACCGGGAGAUAGCUGGUUCUCCCCGAAAGCUAUUUAGGUAGCGCCUCGUGAACUCAUCUUCGGGGGUAGAGCACUGUUUCGGCUAGGGGGUCAUCCCGACUUACCAACCCGAUGCAAACUACGAAUACCGAAGAAUGUUAUCACGGGAGACACACGGCGGGUGCUAACGUCCGUCGUGAAGAGGGAAACAACCCAGACCGCCAGCUAAGGUCCCAAAGUCAUGGUUAAGUGGGAAACGAUGUGGGAAGGCACAGACAGCCAGGAUGUUGGCUUAGAAGCAGCCAUCAUUUAAAGAAAGCGUAAUAGCUCACUGGUCGAGUCGGCCUGCGCGGAAGAUGUAACGGGGCUAAACCAUGCACCGAAGCUGCGGCAGCGAC